rnacentral:pre_miRNA from 1 species
UCUUGUGAAUGAGCAGCAAAAGUGGUUUCUUGAAAAGGAAUCUACUCAUGGUGAAGAUGCUGUGAA